CCUACGGGUGGCAGCAGUGGGGAAUAUUGCACAAUGGGGGAAACCCUGAUGCAGCGACGCCGCGUGAGUGAAGAAGUAUUUCGGUAUGUAAAGCUCUAUCAGCAGGGAAGAAAAUGACGGUACCUGAUUAAUAAGCCCCGGCUCACUACGUGCCAGCAGCCGCGGGAAUACGUAGGGGGCAAACGUUAUCCGGAUUUACUGGGUGUAAAGGGAGCGUAGACGGCAGCACAAGUCUGGAGGGAAAUGCCGGGGCUUAACCCCGGAACUGCUUUGGAAACUGUGCAGCUAGAGUGAAGGAGAGGUAAGUGGAAUUCCUAGUGUAGCGGUGAAAUGCAUAGAUAUUAGGAGGAACACCAGUGGCGAAGGCGGCUUACUGGACUGUAACUGACGUUGAGGCUCGAAAGCGUGGGGAGCAAACAGGAUUAGAUACCCGGGUAGUC
rnacentral:rRNA from 1 species